AGUGAACGCUGGCGGUAGGCCUAACACAUGCAAGUCGAACGGCAGCACAGAGGAGCUUGCUCCUUGGGUGGCGAGUGGCGGACGGGUGAGGAAUACAUCGGAAUCUACUCUGUCGUGGGGGAUAACGUAGGGAAACUUACGCUAAUACCGCAUACGACCUACGGGUGAAAGCAGGGGAUCUUCGGACCUUGCGCGAUUGAAUGAGCCGAUGUCGGAUUAGCUAGUUGGCGGGGUAAAGGCCCACCAAGGCGACGAUCCGUAGCUGGUCUGAGAGGAUGAUCAGCCACACUGGAACUGAGACACGGUCCAGACUCCUACGGGAGGCAGCAGUGGGGAAUAUUGGACAAUGGGCGCAAGCCUGAUCCAGCCAUACCGCGUGGGUGAAGAAGGCCUUCGGGUUGUAAAGCCCUUUUGUUGGGAAAGAAAUCCAGCCGGCUAAUACCUGGUUGGGAUGACGGUACCCAAAGAAUAAGCACCGGCUAACUUCGUGCCAGCAGCCGCGGUAAUACGAAGGGUGCAAGCGUUACUCGGAAUUACUGGGCGUAAAGCGUGCGUAGGUGGUUAUUUAAGUCCGUUGUGAAAGCCCUGGGCUCAACCUGGGAACUGCAGUGGAUACUGGAUGACUAGAAUGUGGUAGAGGGUAGCGGAAUUCCUGGUGUAGCAGUGAAAUGCGUAGAGAUCAGGAGGAACAUCCAUGGCGAAUGCAGCUACCUGGACCACAUUGACACUGAGGCACGAAAGCGUGGGGAGCAAACAGG
rnacentral:rRNA from 1 species